rnacentral:miRNA from 1 species
AAUAAGCAUGCUCAGUUGCAUUUGAAUGUCAGAUAAACACAUACAUGUUUUUUAGGUUAAGUAUUUCCUGUGCAACGUUUGGGACACACUUAUGCUAAAACAUUAUUUCUUAUUUAUUCUGAAAUUCAAAUGUAAGUGGCAUCCUGUCCUUU